CGACGAGUGGCGAACGGGUGAGUAAUACAUCGGAACGUGUCCGCUCGUGGGGGACAACCAGCCGAAAGGUUGGCUAAUACCGCAUGAGUUCUACGGAAGAAAGAGGGGGACCCGCAAGGGCCUCUCGCGAGCGGAGCGGCCGAUGACUGAUUAGCCGGUUGGUGAGGUAACGGCUCACCAAAGCAACGAUCAGUAGCCGGCCUGAGAGGGUGAACGGCCACAUUGGGACUGAGACACGGCCCAAACUCCUACGGGAGGCAGCAG
rnacentral:rRNA from 1 species